AUAGACAGUUAGAUUUUCUAAAUUUUUGGCUAAUGCCAGUGCUACUUUUUCUUCUUAUUUAUGUAGUAUGGGCAAAGGGUUAUUAAAAAGCAUUGCAAUAUUGUGUAACAUUGAUGUUCCAAUUACAAUUGAAUGGGUCUGCCGAAAAAAGUGCCAUGUGAUUCGUUUUUAAGAAAUCGGACAAAAACUGUUAAAAUUAUAAUAAUGGUAAAUUUAUACAUCUUAAGGAUUAGUAAUUAAUUACUUCAGCUUAGUACCAUCUGUUUAAUUUCAGUACUUAAAUUACAUCUCAACUGAACUAACUUUUCUUCGUCAUUGAUAUUUUAUGGACUUUACGGUCUUUAAAUGUACCUAUAUUCUUCUUAAUAUAAUAGUCAUGCUUUGACUGGCUGAUCGACAUAUAGUCCAUGCCAUUAAAAAAGGAUUAGUAAUACAGUACAGUUAGUUACAAACUGUAUUAAUAACUAGCCCUUAAAUGUAUAAAUUUACCAAUAUUCCAAUUUUAACAGUUUUUGUUCGAUUUCUUAAAAACGAAUCACAUGGCACUUAACAAUUGUUAUUCGGUAGACCCAUUCAACUGUGUCUAUAUGCAUUCUCAUUGUGCCUCAUUAAAUAAAAUUUCAGCUUGUGAUGAAGGAUUGCGUAAGGGUGUUAUCAGGUUUUCUUGACUCUGUAACCACUAUCACCAACGAAGAUACUAAUUCAGUCUUCACAUUCUCUUCUCAUAAAUAUUGUAACUGUUUCCAGCUAUGAUUUCAAAUUCACUCAAAAAUGUUAAUUUGCCUUAUUCUAGGGAAGUAGGUAGGUAAUUUAAAUAAUUUUAGAAGGUAAAUUAGUUUGUAAUCAUUAUUAAAUAAAGUGAUAUGUACCUACAUAAGCAUGGUACAAAUAUAAUUAAUUUAAGGUUUAUUAAUAAAUUAUGUACAUUUAAUUUAAUAAAUUAACAAAAUCGUUUUCUACAUUUGCUUCAAAAUCAUUCACAAGUUGCAAAAAGGAGCCUGUUGCUUAAAACCAGUGAUAUGGGCCCACUUCACUGCACAAAACCUUAAUUUAAGAUUUAAGGCAAUAAAAACCAUGUUCUUAGAAGAUACAGCUUGGUUCUUGAAAUGUCAAUAACAAAUUUGCCACUUGUUUUCGUUCUCGUUCUUACCUAUCUGUUCGAUUUUUUAUUCUAUGAGCAAUACUAGUUUCAUGCAAAUAGUGAACAGCAUCUUAGAUAUCCAAAAUCUUGCAACAAUUCAUUAUCAUUCCAUUUUUCAAAAUGAUUUUCUCUAGACCUACACUGUUUCUGUGUUCUCCUUCCUUCUACAAUAUUUACCAUUUCCAGAAAAUCUUCAUUAUUAGUUAAAUUUUCAAUGAGGUUCAUUUUUAAGGUGUAAAUAUUAUGAUUUCCGUUGACAAUGACAAAAAUGUGAGGUUAAAAAUGCUUGAACCAGCGUUAAACCGUCGAACAUCGACCGCUCAGCUGAACCCGGGCUUAAACCGAGUUCAAGAAUUAAACUUUGUAUGUACAACGCACUUCUUACCCUGAACUCGGUAAUGGCGCUGAGCCGGAGUUGAACUUCGAUUGUACAACCGGGCCAAUAUGUUUUAAACUUUGAUGUAUUUGGUAUUUUAACUUUAAUUAACAGACUUGUAUUUUCCUAAAUAUUAAAACUUACUUAUAAAGUAAAUAUCAUUUUACGACAAAACAAAAAUGAAUGUUAUUAGAGAGUUAUCAAGUAUGAGAAUACGGUAACGUUAUAUAGUCCACUUUACAUCAACAAUAAAUUGGACAAGAAAUUGACCAAGUUAUUCAAGGCCAAAUUUGACGUGUAAAAGCACACUUUGACAUCUAAGUUUGUUCGUUAUAAACUUCACGUGAAGAAAUUGAUGAAAAAGAAAAUUGUUCUAUUUUUUCAUUUUAUUUGGCGUGAAUUCAGUGUCACCAACCUGUGUCCAUUUGGCGGGAAGUGGAAGUAGAGCUUUUUGUUUAUUAUUAUUUGUUGAGGUUGAGUCUUUCAUGUUCAUGACAACCUAAAAAUUUUGAUUGGAAAAUGCAUAUAAGAUAAGGGGGUGGAAAAAUGGAAAUUAGUGGCUUUUUUUGCAGUUGUCUGUUAGUUUUGCUCUGGCUGGGUCUCUUUUGUUUAAACAAUUAUAAUCAGCUGAAAGUGGUCUACAAAAAAACCAGGAAGGAAACGUAUUAUAGCCUUGUUGUGGCUAUGAAAGGCAAAAGAAAGAUACCUAUAAAAAGUGUAUUGACUAGUUGGAAGAAACUCCAGAUAAUAAGAUAUUACUUUAUAAACAAAUAUCAAGACCUAGGAAUGGAACCUGGAUAAUAUAGUCAUCAAGAAGAUAACAGGAAGUCAUGAGCAACAACAACUUCAUAAGUAUGAGAAUAUUGAGGAAAUCCAGCUCCUCAUAUCUACUACUGGACAAACUAGAAGAUUGAAGAGGACAAAGCCUUUUGAACUAGUUUGAGUGAUAGUUGAUAGUGAAAAGCAGAGCGUAGUGCUUGUGUGCCUGUGUAUGUUAGAAUAGUGCACGAUCUUGUUAGAUUAGAUAAGAGACGCUAUGAGGUAAGCUCUUCAUUUUAAGGAACAGUAGUAAUUUAGGUUAAAUUAAAAUUGCUCAUUGGUCAGUUAUGACCAGAUUGUAAUUCUCUGAUGUUUGUCAAAAAGGUCUUAAGUCAGAAUUGCACAUCAAUAAUGUUUUGAUGAUUUCUGGACCAUAAAAAAAGUGUUGCAGACUUAAACUGUAUGUACCAAUAAAAAGAGCCGAUUUUUCUGGUCCAGAAAUCAUCAAAACGUUAUCGAUGUGCAAUUCUGACUUAAGCCCUUUUUCCCAAACAUCAGAGAAUUGCAAUGUACAAUUCAAUACAAAUGAAUCAUCAUCGUAGUGAUGAUUAUGGAAAAAAAUAUAUGACAAGAUUUUGUGCAAUAAAAAUGUUUAUAUUUA